rnacentral:rRNA from 1 species
AAGAGGGUGAUAGUCCCGUAUAAGUAAGAGAAGAUAAGAAUAGUGGUAUCCUGAGUAGGUCGGGGCACGUGAAACCUUGAUUGAAACUGGCGGGACCAUCCGCUAAGGCUAAAUACUCCUGAGAGACCGAUAGUGAACCAGUACCGUGAGGGAAAGGUGAAAAGAACCGUGAAUAACGGAGUGAAACAGAUCCUGAAACCAUACGCCUACAAGCGGUCGGAGCCCCUUCGUGGGGUGACGGCGUGCCUUUUGCAUAAUGAGCCUACGAGUUACCGUUGCUGGCAAGGAUAAGUGAUUAAGUCAUGGAUCCGUAGCGAAAGCGAGUCUUAAUAGGGCGCUUAAGUCAGUAGUGGUAGACGCGAAACCGUGUGAUCUACCCAUGGGCAGGUUGAAGUUUAGGUAACACUAAAUGGAGGACCGAACCGUUUAACGCUGAAAAGUUUUCGGAUGACCUGUGGGUAGGGGUGAAAGGCCAAUCAAACUCGGAAAUAGCUCGUACUCCCCGAAAUGCAUUUAGGUGCAGCGAUGAUCGAUAGUUACUUAGAGGUAGAGCUACUGAUUGGAUGCGGGGGCUUCACCGCCUACCAAUUCCUGACAAACUCCGAAUGCUAAGUAAUGAUAAUCAUCAGUGAGGGCAUGGGUGCUAAGGUCCAUGUCCGAGAGGGAAAGAACCCAGACCAUCAGCUAAGGUCCCCAAAUGUAUGCUAAGUUGAAAAAACGCGGUUUGAUUGCCCAGACAGCUAGGAUGUUGGCUUGGAAGCAGCCAUUCAUUUAAAGAGUGCGUAACAGCUCACUAGUCGAGCGAUCGAGCAUGGAUAAUAAUCGGGCAUAAGUAUACUACCGAAGCUAUGGAUUUGCGCAUUUAAUUGCGUGAGUGGUAGGGGAGCAUUCUAACGGCGCAGAAGGUGAUUUGUGAGAAUUGCUGGAGCUUUUAGAAAAGAAAAUGUAGGCAUAAGUAACGAUAAGGGGUGCGAGAAACACCCCCGCCGUAAGACUAAGGUUUCCUCAGCUAUGCUAAUCAGCUGAGGGUUAGUCGGGACCUAAGGCACACCCGAAGGGGGACGUCGAUGGCCAACGGGUUAAUAUUCCCGUACUACUAAUAAUUGUGAUGGAGUGACACAGUGAUGAAAGCACCGCGAACUGACGGAAUAGUUCGUUGAAGCACGUACCUAUAGGUUUGAUAGUAAAAUGCGUCGAACUUGGAGAAAUGCGAUAGUACUUUGAGUCUUCGGACAACGAGAUAGUGUGCCUAAGGGCUGUCAAGAAAAGCUUCUAAACUUAGAUUAUUAGUACCCGUACCGUAAACCGACACAGGUAGUCGAGGAGAGUAUCCUAAGGCGCUCGAGAGAUUCAUGGCUAAGGAACUAGGCAAAAUAGACCUGUAACUUCGGGAGAAAGGUCGCCAGCGCAAGCUGGCCGCAGUGAAAAGGUCCAGGCGACUGUUUAUCAAAAACACAGGGCUCUGCAAAAUCGUAAGAUGACGUAUAGGGCCUGACACCUGCCCGGUGCUGGAAGGUUAAGAGGAGAUGUUAUCGAUGAGUAAUUGUUGAGAAGCAUUGAAUUGAAGCCCCAGUAAACGGCGGCCGUAACUAUAACGGUCCUAAGGUAGCGAAAUUCCUUGUCGGGUAAGUUCCGACCUGCACGAAUGGUGUAACGAUCUGGACACUGUCUCAGCCAUGAGCUCGGUGAAAUUGUAGUAUCGGUGAAGAUGCCGAUUACCCGCAGUGGGACGAAAAGACCCUGUGCACCUUGAUCUACCCAUGGGCAGGUUGAAGUUUAGGUAACACUAAAUGGAGGACCGAACCGUUUAACGCUGAAAAGUUUUCGGAUGACCUGUGGGUAGGGGUGAAAGGCCAAUCAAACUCGGAAAUAGCUCGUACUCCCCGAAAUGCAUUUAGGUGCAGCGAUGAUCGAUAGUUACUUAGAGGUAGAGCUACUGAUUGGAUGCGGGGGCUUCACCGCCUACCAAUUCCUGACAAACUCCGAAUGCUAAGUAAUGAUAAUCAUCAGUGAGGGCAUGCCAGUGGUGAAAUUUCUUAGCUUAACUAAGACACGGCCAUUGAUACUGUUUGACUUGAAUAGUAUGGAAGUAACUAGAAUAUGUAGUGUAGCGGUGAAAUGCUUAGAUAUUACAUGGAAUACCAAUUGCGAAGGCAGGUUACUACGUAUUUAUUGACGCUGAUGAACGAAAGCGUGGGGAGCGAACAGGAUUAGAUACCCUGGUAGUCCACGCCGUAAACGAUGGAUACUAGCUGUUCGGAUUUCGGUCUGAGUGGCUAAGCGAAAGUGAUAAGUAUCCCACCUGGGGAGUACGUUCGCAAGAAUGAAACUC